GAUGAACGCUGGCGGCGUGCCUAAUACAUGCAAGUCGAGCGAAUGGAUUAAGAGCUUGCUCUUAUGAAGUUAGCGGCGGACGGGUGAGUAACACGUGGGUAACCUGCCCAUAAGACUGGGAUAACUCCGGGAAACCGGGGCUAAUACCGGAUAAUAUUUUGAACUGCAUGGUUCAAAAUUGAAAGGCGGCUUCGGCUGUCACUUAUGGAUGGACCCGCGUCGCAUUAGCUAGUUGGUGAGGUAACGGCUCACCAAGGCAACGAUGCGUAGCCGACCUGAGAGGGGGAUCGGCCACAGUGGGACUGAGACACGGACCGGACUCCUACGGGAGGCAACAGUAGGGAAUCUUCCGCAAUGGACGAAAGUCUGACGGAGCAACGCCGCGUGAGUGAUGAAGGCUUUCGGGUCGUAAAACUCUGUUGUUAGGGAAGAACAAGUGCUAGUUGAAUAAGCUGGCACCUUGACGGUACCUAACCAGAAAGCCACGGCUAACUACGUGCCAGCCGCCGCAGUAA
rnacentral:rRNA from 1 species